ensembl:lncRNA
AAGCUUUUUAUUUUUGUGAAAAAUAAUUUUUUUCUGCAUGAACUGUGAUAAAAGAUUAUUUCUGCUAUUUGCUUUUUACUGCUUGCGACUCCUACAAUAAAUUAUUCUGUAGUCUCCUUUACACCCUCCAGCCUUGAUAUCAAUGGGAAGUUGUACAAAACUGUAUUGGUCAAUAUGUAAUGUAGGCAGAGCUGAGCAAGGUUCUGGGCACGCUGGGAAUGGAAGAAAGGGUCUAACUGACCUCAUCAGAACAUGAAAUCAGAAUGGCUUGGGUUGGAAGGGACCCCGAGGAUCACCACAUUCAAGCCCUGCUGUCACAGGCAGGGCCACCAACCUCCAGAUCUGGUACCAGACCAGGCUGCCCAUGGUCCCCUCCAACCUGGUCUUCAACAUGUCCAGGGACAGAGCAUCCACAACCUCUCUUGGCAGCCUGUUCCAGCACCUCACCAUCUCUCUGUGAAAAACUUCUCCCUGACAUCCAAACUAAACCUUCCCUGUUUGAGCUUGACACUAUUCUCCGUUGUCCUAUCACUAUCUACCCAAGUGGUAUGAAAUGAGUAAUAUGGAAUGAAGACAUUUGUUGUCAGUAACUUUCUACAAAGCUUUUUGGGUAUAAUUACCGCUCUAUUAGUCCUGUUUUCAUCAAUUAAGAAGCCUGUAGGAUGUUCUAGUGCCAUCUGCAAAAUGUAGGAGGUAGCUGCUAUUGCAAGUUCUUUUCUGCAAAGGCCCAAAUCUGCUAAGCUGCUUCGUACUAGGCUGAAAGAAAGGGAGAAGUCUGCAGGAGGCAAUUAAAGAAACAUAGAUGGAAAGAGGCCUUCAUUCUAGCUGCAGAUCACAGCACCUGUUCUGAGGCUUUUCACAGAUUCUCCUCUGGAUAGGACUCUUGUGGAGGGAGAAGUGAGAGGCCCUGUUGCUCAUUAAUGGAAACACUGCUGUCUGUGCUUCAUGUGAGAACACCCUAAUAUCAUCCUUCAGGCAGAAGCAGACUGGGGCCUUUUUUACCUGGCUGUACUGUUCCCUCGAUGGUGUGAUUCCCUCUGGCAGAGAGGUGAUGCAAGAUCAAUAGGAGGGAGUCCAUCUGUGGCCUCAAAGCCUCUUGGUUAAAAUGAGAGCAGCUCCCUCUUGAGAAACCAAUGUGCUGCAGGCUGAAGAGCCCAGAAUUAUUGAAUUUCUAUUCCCCCUGAAGGCAAUUAGAAACUAUGAUCAAGGCACACUUUAGCCUUUUUGUGGAGGCUUUUGAAGAAAGAGCUUGAAUAAGGUCAAAAUAGAAACACCUUUAUCUCUGCAUGCUCCAUGUCGAUGACAAC